UCCCUGGUGGUCUAGUGGUUAGGAUUUGGCACUUACACUGCUGGGGCCUGGGUUCAAUCCCUGGUCAGGGAA